rnacentral:lncRNA from 1 species
GUAGUGACUGGUUAUAGUAGUGGUAGUGACUGGUUAUAGUAGUGGUAGUGACUGGUUAUAGUAGUGGUAGUGACUGGUUAUAGUUAUAGUAGUGGUAGUGACUGGUUAUAGUUAUAGUAGUGGUAGUGACUGGUUAUAGUAGUGGUAGUGACUGGUUAUAGUAGUGGUAAUGACUGGUUAUAGUAGUGGUAGUGACUGUUUAUAGUAGUGGUAGUGACUGGUUAUAGUAGUCGUAGUGACUGGUUAUAGUUAUAGUAGUGGUAGUGUCUACAGUAGUAAUGGUAGUGUCUGGUUAUAGUAGUGGUAGUGACUGGUUAUAGUAGUGGUAGUGACUGGUUAUAGUAGUGGUAGUGACUGGUUAUAGUUAUAGUAAUGGUAGUGACUGGUUAUAGUAGUGGUAGUGACUGGUUAUAGUAGUGGUAGUGACUGGUUAUAGUAGUGGUAGUGACUGGUUAUAGUUAUGGUAAUGAUAGUGACUGGUUAUAGUUAUAGUAAUGGUAGUGACUGGUUAUAGUAGUGGUAGUGACUGGUUAUAGUUAUAGUAGUGGUAGUGACUGGUUAUAGUUAUGGUAAUGAUAGUGACUGGUUAUAGUUAUAGUAAUGGUAGUGACUGGUUAUAGUUAUAGUAGUGGUAGUGACUGGUUAUAGUUAUAGUAGUGGUAGUGACUGGUUAUAGUUAUAGUAGUGGUAGUGACUGGUUAUAGUAGUGGUAGUGACUGUGACUGGUUAUAGUUAUAGUAGUGGUAGUGACUGGUUAUAGUAGUGGUAGUGACUGGUUAUAGUAGUGGUAGUGUCUGGUUAUAGUAGUGGUAGUGACUGGUUAUAGUAGUGGUAGUGACUGGUUAUAGUAGUGGUAGUGACUGGUUAUAGUAGUGGUAGUGACUGGUUAUAGUAGUGGUAGUGUCUGGUUAUAGUAGUGGUAGUGACUGGUUAUAGUAGUGGUAGUGUCUGGUUAUAGUAGUGGUAGUGACUGGUUAUAGUAGUGGUAGUGACUGGUUAUAGUAGUG